rnacentral:rRNA from 1 species
AGCGACAGGCUUAACACAUGCAAGUCGAGGGGCAGCAUAGAAGUAGCAAUACUUGGUGGCGACCGGCGCACGGGUGAGUAACGCGUAUGCCAACCACCUAUCAGAGGGGAAUAACCCGGCGAAAGUCGGACUAAUACCGCACAAAACAGGGGCACCGCAUGGUGAUAUUUGUUAAAGAAAUUCGCUGAUAGAUGGGCAUGCGUUCCAUUAGGUAGUUGGUGAGGUAACGGCUCACCAAGCCGACGAUGGAUAGGGGGAACCUGAGAGGUUGGUCCCCCACACUGGUACUGAGACACGGACCAGACUCCUACGGGAGGCAGCAGUGAGGAAUAUUGGUCAAUGGGCGGGAGCCUGAACCAGCCAAGUCGCGUGAAAGGAAGAAGGAUCUAUGGUUCGUAAACUUCUUUUGCAGGGGAAUAAAGUGCAGGACGUGUCCUGUUUUGUAUGUACCCUGAGAAUAAGGAUCGGCUAACUCCGUGCCAGCAGCGGC